GCCUUCGUGGUGUAGUGGUCAGCACUUUCCAUGCGUAUUCAAGAGGUUCAUGGUUCGAGUCCCUGUGAGGGCA
rnacentral:tRNA from 1 species